UUGAAAGGGAAACGAUUGAAGUCAGUCGUACCUGCGGGUAAUCAGCCUUUUGGGUGUGAUUCUGUGGAGUGUGAGGAGUAACGCUUCAUGCCUGCAUAUUCGUGCACUUUGGGUGUACUUGCCCGUGUGGUUAGUUAACAUCAAUUUUGGUCGUCAUAAAAUGGCUGGAGGAAUGUAGCUUCGAUCUCGUAUUGAAGUGUUAUAGCCUUCGGUAGAUGUGAUGAUUGGGAUUGAGGAUUGCAACGGAUACCCUUCGGGGCUACCUGUCUGAUCUCUGAUCGUUGCUCUGGUGCCGAAAGCGUGCUUACGGUUAUCAAAGUCGAUGGUCAAAAGGUUAGAACGGGUUAAAUUCGUUAAGGAUGUUGACGUA
rnacentral:rRNA from 1 species